rnacentral:rRNA from 1 species
UGCAAGUCGAACGCAGUAGCAAUACUGAGUGGCAGACGGGUGAGUAACAUGUGGGAAUCUGCCUUGUGGUUCAGGACAACAUUGGGAAACCGAUGCUAAUACUGGAUAAGCCCUUACGGGGAAAGUUUUAAUGCCAUAAGAUGAGCCCGCAUUUGAUCAGUUAGUUGGUGAGGUAAUGGCUCACCAAGACAAUGAUCAAUAGCUGAUCUGAGAGGAUGAUCAGCCACACUGGGACUGAGACACGGCCCAGACUCCUACGGGAGGCAGCAGUGGGGAAUCUUGCACAAUGGAGGAAACUCUGAUGCAGCGAUGCCGCGUGAGUGAAGAAGGCCUUUGGGUUGUAAAGCUCUUUUGUAGGGGAAGAUAAUGACUGUACCCUAAGAAUAAGGUCCGGCUAACUUCGUGCCAGCAGCCGCGGGGAUACGAAGGGACCUAGCGUAGUUCGGAAUUACUGGGCGUAAAGCGCGCGUAGGCCGUUGAGUUAGUUUAAUUGUGAAAUCCCCAAAGCUUAACUUUGGAACUGCAAUUAAAACUGCUCGACUAGAGUUUGAUAGAGGAAAGCGGAAUACAUAGUGUAGAGGUGAAAUUCGUAGAUAUUAUGUAGAACACCAGUUGCGAAGGCGGCUUUCUGGGAUCAACACUGACGCUGAAGCGCGAAAGUAUGGGGUAGCAAAGAGGAUUAGAUACCCUCGUAGUCCCA